AGCAGCCGCGGUAAUUCCAGCUCCAAUAGCGUAUAUUAAAGUUGUUGCAGUUAAAAAGCUCGUAGUUGAAUUUCGGGAUUGGCGCAUCGGUCGUGCCUCACGGGGUAUGAACUGGUGCAGUCAAUUUCUCACCUUCUGGAGAACCGCGAUGUCCUUAAUUGGGUGCCGCGGGGAACCAGGACCUUUACUUUGAAAAAAUUGAGUGUUUAAAGCAGGCAUUUUUUGCUUGAAUACAUUAGCAUGGAAUAAUAAAAUAGGACGGCAUGGUUCUAUUUUGUUGGUUUCUAGGACCACCGUAAUGAUUAAUAGGGAUAGUUGGGGGCAUUAGUAUUCAAUUGUCAGAGGUGAAAUUCUUGGAUUUAUUGAAGACUAACUACUGCGAAAGCAUUUGCCAAGGAUGUUUUCAUUAAUCAAGAACGAAAGUUAGGGAUCGAAGACGAUCAGAUACCGUCGUAGUCUUAACCAUAAACUAUGCCGACUAGGAAUCAAGACGAUGUUAAUUUUUUAUGUACUUCGUUGG
rnacentral:rRNA from 1 species